CCCUUUUACAUUUUAAUUUUUUUUUUCUCAAAUAAAACGGUAAUUGAUGAAACUUAGAGCUUCGUUGCAAAGGAAAACAGUUCAUGUUUUUAGGCAAAAAGCUUAAAGCAACAAAAUUCGUAAACAUACCAAACAUUGAAUAUUCAAAGCAAACUUGCCGUAUAUUUCACGAUUUAUAUUUCCCAUAGUAAAUCAAUUUUUUUCUUUUCUUCAAACAAAAUUGCUUCAAGCUUAUUGUGUAUGAAACGAUUUUCCAAAUAUACAUCUUUUCAAAAUUGAAAUCUUGCUCAUCCCACUCCUACAAGCAAUCAGCCAUAUUUUUGAGAUCAGUGAGGAUGACCACCCACAUCGUUGGUGACCGACGCCCGCGCUCAUUGACGAACUUUGGGCUUGGCUAAUGCUUUCGUUUCCCCGGGUGUAAAUAGCCGGGAGGAAUUAGUACCCUCGACCCGGGCUUACGCCCGGAAAGGGGUCCGCGCCGUUGGCUCGGCGAUGAAUAUAUUUUAGCUACAUACAUA